rnacentral:rRNA from 1 species
GAUGAACGCUGGCGGCGUGCCUAAUACAUGCAAGUCGAGCGAACGGACGAGAAGCUUGCUUCUCUGAUGUUAGCGGCGGACGGGUGAGUAACACGUGGAUAACCUACCUAUAAGACUGGGAUAACUUCGGGAAACCGGAGCUAAUACCGGAUAAUAUUUUGAACCGCAUGGUUCAAAAGUGAAAGACGGUCUUGCUGUCACUUAUAGAUGGAUCCGCGCUGCAUUAGCUAGUUGGUAAGGUAACGGCUUACCAAGGCAACGAUGCAUAGCCGACCUGAGAGGGUGGUCGGCCACCCUGGCACUGGGGCACGGUCCCGACUCCUACGGGAGGCAGCCGUAGGGAAUCUUCCGCAAUGGGCGGAAGCCUGACGGGGCAACGCCGCGUGGGUGAUGGAGGUCUUCGGAUCGUUAAACUCUGUUAUUAGGGAAGAACAUAUGUGUAAGUAACUGUGCACAUCUUGACGGUACCUAAUCCGAAAGCCACGGCUAACUUCGUG